rnacentral:rRNA from 1 species
UUACGGGGUGCAGCAGGCGCGAAAACUCUCCAAUGUGCGAAAGCGUGAGAGGGGAAUUCCUAGUGCUCCGGCAUUAGCCGGGGCUUUUGCCAUGUGUAAAUAGCAUGGCGAAUAAGUGGUGGGCAAGACUGGUGCCAGCCGCCGCGGUAACACCAGCGCCACGAGUGGCGAUCACGAUUAUUGGGCCUAAAGCGUUCGUAGCCGGUCUGGUAAAUCUCUUGUGAAAUUGUUCGGCUUAACCGGACAGCGUGCAGGAGACACUGCCAGACUCGAGACCGGGAGGGGUUAGAAGUAUGUCGUGGGGACUGGUAAAAUGGGAUAAUCCACGAUAGACUACCGGUGGCGAAGGCAUCUAACCAGAACGGAUCUGACAGUGAGGAACGAAAGCCAGGGGAGCGAACCGGAUUAGAUACCCGAGUAGUCCUGGCCGUAAACGCUGUGAGCUAGGUGUCGCGUAUCUCACGAAGAUGCGCGGUGUCGAAAUGAAGAUGCUAAGCUCACCGCCUGGGAAGUACGGUUGCAAGACUGAAACUUUAAGGAAUUGGCGGGGGAAUCACUAGUGAAUUC